GGAAACUGUGACUAAGUUUCAAGUAAAUAGAGAAAAAUUUCACACUUUCAUCGCAAAGACAAGAAGCAAAUCAGGUGUAAAACAUGUCCUAAGGGAUACUGUUUAUCAUGCUGCUGUUGAUGCAUCUCCCAACCACAAUCCAACUACGUCGUGAAAUUCAAGGAAAUUGUGCCAAAGAUGUUCUACUAGAGUGUUCAGUUAUCAGCAGCAAAGCCUUUGAUUUUUUUCCCAUUCACGUGGUAUAAGGGUGUCACAGCUAUUAUCAGGAUGCGUAAAGAGCACAUACAGCCCUUCAGCUUCCCUGAUGUUUUUAAGCGGGUGUCCUUCAUCUCAGUUUGUUACAUCGAAAUGAUGUGCCUUGAUAUUUUUGUCCUUUUUCUUGCUUUUUAAAGUAAUACAUGUCCCACUAUCGAGACAACAGAAGAAUUGAUUAUGCAUUGAACAGAAGGAUUUGAAAACAGAAAAUGAAAUACAUCUAAAGUCAUAUUUGUUAUGCUCCAGUUAUUUCACAAUAAGAACAGAGGCAUGGUCAUAUUACAGGGUUUCCACUGAGAGGAACAGAAACCAUAAUGUUAUAGUCACACUCAAUGUCAAAAAUGUAUAGAGUCCUUCAUGUUUUCUGCUUUAGGUUUCUGAUCAUCCACCUUUUAAAGACAUUCAA